GCCUGGCUGGCUCAGUCAGUAGAGCACCUGACUCUUGAUCUCAGGGUCAUGUGAGUUCAAGCCCCAUGUUGGGUG
rnacentral:tRNA from 1 species